GAUGAACGCUGGCGGUAUGCUUAACACAUGCAAGUCGAACGCAGACUUUCGGGUCUUAGUGGCGUACGGGUGAGUAACGCGUGAUAAUCUGGCUUCAGAUUGGGUACAACCACGGGAAACGUUGGCUAAUACCCAAUGUGCCGUUAAGGUGAAAUAUUAAUUCCCUGAAGAUGCGCUCGCGUCUGAUUAGCUAGUUGGUGGGUUAAGAUCUCACCAAGGCGACGAGAAGUAUCUGGUCUGAGAGGACGAUCAGCCACACUGCUACUGAGACACGGCACAGACGAAUCCGGGAGGAAGGAGUGAGGAAUGUUCCGCCAAGGGCGAGAGACUGACGAAGCAAUACCGAGUGAGGGAGGAAGGCUCUUGGGUUGAAAACCUCUUUUCUUAACGAAGAAGGCAAUGACGGUACCUGAGGAAUAAGCAACGGCUAACUCCGUG
rnacentral:rRNA from 1 species